rnacentral:rRNA from 1 species
AAUCUUCCGCAAUGGACUCAAGUCUGACGGAGCAACGCCGCGUGAGUGAUGAGGGUUUUCGCAUCGUAAAACUCUGUUGUUAGGGAAGAACAAGUACCGUUCGAAUAGGCCGGCACCUCGACGGUACCUACCCCGCAAGCCACGGCUAACUACGUGCCAGCAGCCGCGGUAAUACGAAGGUGGCAAGCGUUAUCCGGAAUUAUUGGGCGUAAAGCGCGCGCAGGCGGUUUCUUGAGUCUGAUGUGAAAGCCCACGGCUCAACCGUGGAGGGUCAUUGGAAACUGGGGAACUUGAGUGCAGAAGAGGAGAGUGGAAUUCCAUGUGUAGCGGUGAAAUGCGUAGAGAUAUGGAGGAACACCAGUGGCGAAGGCGACUCUCUGGUCUGCAACUGACGCUGAGGCGCGAAAGCGUGGGGAGCAAACA